rnacentral:rRNA from 1 species
UCGUAAGAUGACGUAUACGGUGUGACGCCUGCCCGGUGCCGGAAGGUUAAUUGAUGGGGUUAGACUUCGGUCGAAGCUCUUGAUCGAAGCCCCGGUAAACGGCGGCCGUAACUAUAACGGUCCUAAGGUAGCGAAAUUCCUUGUCGGGUAAGUUCCGACCUGCACGAAUGGCGUAAUGAUGGCCACGCUGUCUCCACCCGAGACUCAGUGAAAUUGAAAUCGCUGUGAAGAUGCAGUGUACCCGCGGCUAGACGGAAAGACCCCGUGAACCUUUACUACAGCUUGGCACUGAACAUUGACCCUACAUGUGUAGGAUAGGUGGGAGGCUUUGAAGCAGGUACGCCAGUAUCUGUGGAGCCGUCCUUGAAAUACCACCCUUGUAGUGUUGAUGUUCUAACGUCGACCCCUAAUCGGGGUUGCGGACAGUGCCUGGUGGGUAGUUUGACUGGGGCGGUCUCCUCCCAAAGAGUAACGGAGGAGCACGAAGGUGGGCUAAUCACGGUUGGACAUCGUGAGGUUAGUGCAAUGGCAUAAGCCCGCUUGACUGCGAGAAUGACAAUUCGAGCAGGUGCGAAAGCAGGUCAUAGUGAUCCGGUGGUUCUGAAUGGAAGGGCCAUCGCUCAACGGAUAAAAGGUACUCCGGGGAUAACAGGCUGAUACCGCCCAAGAGUUCAUAUCGACGGCGGUGUUUGGCACCUCGAUGUCGGCUCAUCACAUCCUGGGGCUGAAGUCGGUCCCAAGGGUAUGGCUGUUCGCCAUUUAAAGUGGUACGCGAGCUGGGUUUAGAACGUCGUGAGACAGUUCGGUCCCUAUCUGCCGUGGGCGUUGGAAGAUUGAAGGGGGCUGCUCCUAGUACGAGAGGACCGGAGUGGACGAACCUCUGGUGUUCGGGUUGUGUCGCCAGACGCAUUGCCCGGUAGCUAAGUUCGGAAUCGAUAACCGCUGAAAGCAUCUAAGCGGGAAGCGAGCCCUGAGAUGAGUCUUCCCUGAUACUUUAAGUAUCCUAAAGGGUUGUCGGAGACUACGACGUUGAUAGGUCAGGUGUGUAAGUGCUGUGAGGCAUUGAGCUAACUGAUACUAAUUGCCCGUGAGGCUUAACCAUACAACACCCAAGGGGUUU